AAUUUCUCAAGCUUGGAUGGCUUUUUUGUCUGUCCUUAGCCUUGGUUGUUGGGCUUUGCCGUGUCCUUUGUUGGGACGGCUGGCCUCAAAAGCAUUGGCUGAUCCUUGUGUGGCACUGGUUCUACCCAGCGUGAUAACAGUCUGAUCGCUGAGGACAUCUUUUGGGAUGGCCAGUUCUCAUUUGGGUUGCUUCCAAACUUGGUUUUGCAGAUUCUUCAAUCUGUGCUCCACUUUUCAG
rnacentral:misc_RNA from 1 species